rnacentral:rRNA from 1 species
GUGAGGAAUAUUGCGCAAUGGAGGCAACUCUGACGCAGCCAUGCCGCGUGCAGGAAGAAGGCGCUACGCGUUGUAAACUGUUUUUAACCGGGAAGAAACCCCAGGACGUGUCCUGGGUUGACGGUACCGGAGGAAUAAGCACCGGCUAACUUCGUGCCAGCAGCCGCGGUAAUACGAAGGGUGCAAGCGUUAUCCGGAUUCAUUGGGUUUAAAGGGUGCGUAGGCGGAGCGUUAAGUCAGUGGUGAAAUACUGCAGCUUAACUGUAGACUUGACAUUGAUACUGGCGCUCUUGAGUGCGCUUGAAGUGGGCGGAAUGUGCCGUGUAGCGGUGAAAUGCUUAGAUAUGGCACAGAACACCAAUUGCGAAGGCAGCUCACUAAGGCGAUACUGACGCUGAGGCACGAAAGCGUGGGGAUCGAACAGGAUUAGAUACCCGGGUAGUCC